rnacentral:rRNA from 1 species
GACGAACGCUGGCGGCGUGCUUAACACAUGCAAGUCGAACGGAAAGGCCCUGCUUGCAGGGUACUCGAGUGGCGAACGGGUGAGUAACACGUGGGUGAUCUGCCCUGCACUUCGGGAUAAGCUUGGUAAACUGGGUCUAAUACCGGAUAGGAGCCAUCUUUAGUGUGGUGGUUGGAAAGUUUUUUCGGUGUAGGAUGAGCUCGCGGCCUAUCAGCUUGUUGGUGGGGUAAUGGCCUACCAAGGCGGCGACGGGUAGCCGGCCUGAGAGGGUGUACGGCCACAUUGGGACUGAGAUACGGCCCAGACUCCUACGGGAGGCAGCAGUGGGGAAUAUUGCACAAUGGGCGCAAGCCUGAUGCAGCGACGCCGCGUGGGGGAUGAAGGCCUUCGGGUUGUAAACUCCUUUCGCUAGGGACGAAGCUUUGUUGUGACGGUACCUAGAUAAGAAGCACCGGCUAACUACGUG